CAAUAGCGUAUAUUAAAGUUGUUGCAGUUAAAAAGCUCGUAGUUGGAUUUCUGGUAGGAGCGACCGUGCCGAACUUGAUUGUUCGAGUAUUGUGUUGUCUUCAGCCAUCCUCGUGGAGAACUUUUCUAACAUUAACUUGUUGGGAUUGGGACCCGCGUCGUUUACUGUGAAAAAAUUAGAGUGUUUAAAGCAGGCAUUAGCUUGAAUACAUUAGCAUGGAAUAGUAAGAUAGGACUUUGGUACUAUUUUGUUGGUUUGCAUACCAAAUUAAUGAUCAACAGGAACAGUUUGAGGAUAUUCGUAUGAACAUGUCAGAGGUGAAAUUCUUGGAUUUUGAUCAGACGAACUACUGCGAAAGCAUUUAUCAAGGAUGUUUUCAUUGA
rnacentral:rRNA from 1 species